rnacentral:rRNA from 1 species
UACAGAGGGGGCAAGCGUUGUUCGGAAUUACUGGGCGUAAAGGGCGCGUAGGCGGCCCGCUAAGUCGAACGUGAAAUCCCCAGGCUCAACCUGGGAACUGCGUCCGAUACUGGCAGGCUUGAAUCCGGGAGAGGGAUGUGGAAUUCCAGGUGUAGCGGUGAAAUGCGUAGAUAUCUGGAGGAACACCGGUGGCGAAGGCGGCAUCCUGGACCGGUAUUGACGCUGAGGUGCGAAAGCGAUGGGGAGCAAACAGGGAUUAAGAAACCC